rfam:Selenihalanaerobacter shriftii strain ATCC BAA-73 genome assembly, contig: EI55DRAFT_scaffold00025.25
GGGCCAUUAGCUCAGCUGGCAGAGCACCUGACUUUUAAUCAGGGUGUCGGAGGUUCGACUCCUCCAUGGCUCA